GUGAUUAAGUGGUGGUUAUCCGGCCCCUGCUUAAGCUACUAAAAAAAAAAAAAAAAAAAUUCACCCAUUUUAACCUCCCAAAGAAAGAAAUCUGUGAUUUAGGGAGAACUGUAUCAGUAAAAUUUUCUUAAAAUCUGUCUAGACCCUGAAGAACCAAUCCCCUUAUCUCCCGCAGUACUUCAGUAUGAUGAAGAGAUGUUUGAACAAACACCUGCCACACUCACACGUUAUUGUUACAAUGGGGUAUGAGCUCCCCCAGAGCCAGGAGAGGCAAGAAGCAUGGCUGGGGUCCAGUUCUUAGGUCUGCUUCAGUAAGAUCCUUGUCAAGUCAUUUCCCUUUCUGGUUACAGUCUCCUCGUCUGUAAAAUGAAAGGGCGAAUCUCUGUGCCUUUUUCCCUUUUAUGAACAUGCCAGUGAUUCUUUCCUACAGAAGACUAACAUGCUCGUAAACUCUCAAGAAAGAGGCACUAUCAAGAGAAAUUUUAGAUGCACUUUAAGAAUAGGUUUCAUUAUAUAAUGUGCACUUCUCUCUGUUUGGAUUUUACUAUCCGUUUACGAUAAAAUCCCCCUUAUGAAGAGUCCCAAGUUUUGCUGUAAUAAGAGAUCACAGCAUAUGACAUUAAAAAUGUCUGCAGUUUCCUUCCAAUACUGAAAAGUCUUAAGUAUGAGAUAUGAAUAAUAUUUUCCACAGUGACAGAAAAAGAACUCUGUAUCAAUCAUUAAGAAAAAGAAAAGCUUUUCUUAUGUGAUUGCAGCAGGGCUAAGUCCCUAUCCUGGGUCAGGGGCGCUCGCCCCCUUCUCACCCUCCACACUGCCUUAGCGGGGCAGCAAGUCGCCUCCACAAGUUGUGACGGAGAGGGAGGCUCCUAGGGGCACCAUGAGAAGUGAAUCCCAGCUGCUACUUGCUACCUUUUCCUCUGGGAUUCUGCCAAACCGCGGCAGCCUGCGAUCCAUUCAAACCACCGCCCGCCGACUUCCGGGAAGAGAGGGCCUGUGAGGUUCGGCGCGUGCGCACUGUGCAGCCACCGCCUCACGCGAGUCGCGAAUCCUGCACGUGCCGGCCCCUCAGUCCCCGCUGCGUGCGCUUUCCUACUUCACCGCCACCGCGCCCGGGCCUCGGGGGAACUGCACAGGACGGCUCCUGGGAUGCAUUUCACACUGCUUGUUUUGUAACGGGAUAAUCACGAGAUUACCCUUCUCAAAGUAUUUGAGAUCGUUCAGCAUCCUUUAGGGNNNNNNNNNNNNNNNNNNNNNNNNNNNNNNNNNNNNNNNNNNNNNNNNNNNNNNNNNNNNNNNNNNNNNNNNNNNNNNNNACACGGUUUAAAAAAAGAGAAUCAGAUUGUAACAAAAAGCUUGUAAAGGAAAACAUCAGUGCCCUGCUCCUCCCCUCUGCCCGCAGUGGUCCACCCACCCACUCUUUUUUUUUUUUAAAGACUGCUUUGUUUGUUCUAGCAGUUUUCUCCUUUAGGUUUGAUUUCAAACGUGCUUUCCAGCUGUAAGUUUCCAAGAUUAUACUGUUUUUUGUUUUGUUUUUCUUGGCUAGAUUCUCUCCAACUUCCAGUAAGUACAAGCUAAUGAGACACCACGGUGUGUUGAGAACUGUUUGUCAAAACUG
ensembl:lncRNA